CUGGCUCAGGACGAACGCUGGCGGCGUGCCUAAUACAUGCAAGUCGAGCGGACCUCUUCGGAGGUCAGCGGCGGACGGGUGAGGAACACGUGGGUAAUCUGCCUUUCAGACCGGAAUAACGCCCGGAAACGGGCGCUAAUGCCGGAUACGCCCGCGAGGAGGCAUCUUCUUGCGGGGAAAGGCCCAAAUGGGCCGCUGAGAGAGGAGCCCGCGGCGCAUUAGCUGGUUGGCGGGGUAACGGCCCACCAAGGCGACGAUGCGUAGCCGACCUGAGAGGGUGACCGGCCACACUGGGACUGAGACACGGCCCAGACUCCUACGGGAGGCAGCAGUAGGGAAUCUUCCGCAAUGGGCGCAAGCCUGACGGAGCAACGCCGCGUGAGCGAAGAAGGCCUUCGGGUUGUAAAGCUCUGUUGCUCGGGGAGAGCGGCAUGGGGAGUGGAAAGCCCCAUGCGAGACGGUACCGAGU
rnacentral:rRNA from 1 species